UGCGCAGGCGGUUUCUUAAGUCAGAUGUGAAAGCCCCGGGCUUAACCUGGGAACUGCGUUUGAAACUGGGAGACUCGAGUGUGGCAGAGGGGGGUGGAAUUCCACGUGUAGCAGUGAAAUGCGUAGAUAUGUGGAGGAACACCGAUGGCGAAGGCAGCCCCCUGGGUUAACACUGACGCUCAUGCACGAAAGCGUGGGGAGCAAACAGGAUUAGAUACCCUGGUAGUCCACGCCCUAAACUAUGUCAACUGGUUGUCGGGGGAUUAACUCCCUUGGUAACGAAGCUAACGCGUGAAGUUGACCGCCUGGGGAGUACGGCCGCAAGGUUAAA
rnacentral:rRNA from 1 species